CAGAGGUUUUGCUAUUUCCAAAGCAUUUUCAUUUAUGGUUUCAUUGAACACUUCCAACCACCAUAUGGGGCGUAUAUCUCACCUGCUUUGUAGUCACGUCAUACUUGUCUCCUUGGUCACAGUGCCUGGCAUAAGAGUGGGCAGUUAGUAAAGAUGUACUGAAUUAAGUUCCAUCCCAAUAAUCGCUUUGGGAGAUCUCUUAGGGGAUUUCAAACUCAAAUGCAAGUUGUGCUGGUUGACUCUCUGAUUCUGUGACUCCCAGGAAUGAUGUUCUUUGCCACAGACAGAUGCUGAAAGUUGGAUCUGGGCUCCCGCUAACUGGGUUCAAGAAAGGCUUUAGAAAAACGAUGGAGUCCAAGGUGAGAGGCUGAGGCCAAGUGCGGAGAAGCAGCUCACGCAUGAUCACCCAACGAAUCAGCGAUAGAACUGGGAACCGGGCCUCCUGCUACGAGCCAGAUGCUGUUUCCACACCACGUGGUACCAGGAGUUGGGUGGAGGGCAGACCAUCACCACCUCAUCCUGUCACUCUCUGGGAUGCAGAUCAGAUGCAAAGUGGAGCCAACUCAGUGACUAAGACAGGCAGGCUUGAGGCUAAGAGAUCCAAUCGGCCUGCCUCCCUGAGCCUCCAUCACCUUCCUCUGUAAAAAGGAGACAUUGGUGCCUCAAGUCGGACACCAGUCUUUCUACAGUGCUGCCAUUGAUCAAUUCCAAGUGGAAGCCAGAGAGCAGAGAAGCCCAGGUACUUCCCCAGGUAGAGAAAGGUGAGUCAAUCUGGAGGGGCAAAAAGCAUACACAGCCUGCUUUGCUUUGGUUUUUAGCACAUCUAUGCAUGAGUGGCUUUACGUACAUUAUUAUACUAUUGUUACAUAUUACAUAUAUUCUGACAGUCACUCUGGGAGGUGAGGAAACCACGACUCAGAGAGAUAAAAUGACUUGUCCAGGUCUUCUGACCGCAAAACCAUUUUCUUCCUCCCUUCCUUCCUUCCUUCCUUCCUUCCUUCCUUCCUUCCUUCCUUCCUUCUUUCCUUUUUUUCUUAAAGAAAAAGCUAUUUUAAUGAAGUCUUUAGAGUUAGAUGGGCGAUAGGGAUAUAUUUAAAUAUCUUGAAAGCCAAAGAGAUACAAAGCACAGCCACAGUGUGGACCAAUGUCCCCAGAGCUGGGAAACUAGGUGUGUCCGAAUAGGGCAGCCCUGAGUAGGCUGUGGAGGUGGGAGUCCCAGCAGUGAAGCUCCGGGAAGCCCAUUGCUUUCCAGUGGGCAGGGUCAACAUUAUCAAUAGAUUAUCAGUUUAUUAUAAAAGGAUAUAAUUCAGGAACAGCCAGAUAGAAGACAAGUGUAGGGCAAAGUAUGUGGGAAGGGGUGCGGAGCUUCCAAGCCGUCUCCGAGUGCCACUCCCUGCAAAUCUCCAGGUGUUGACUAACCCGGAAACUCCUCAUGUUCCUUCCGUGUGGCAUGAUUCUGACCGAGCUCACACUGACUUUCUGGCUGUGUUCUACUUUCCAGGGGAAAAUCUCUCUGACCAAAUAAUGCUCCCACUCACAUGGGAGGAAAUUCAGAGGACAAGGUAGAUGGGGGAAGAUGUUUUAUACCACGGAGCUUCUUUGGAGCUUACCAAACCAUUCCAGGGGCCAUCCCUGAGGAGGAGUCUCAUUCAUCCUGUGAUUCAAUAGCUGUGAAAUUGACAAGGUGAGGGGAGAAGGGGCUGGGCUUGGGAGGGGCAUGGCCCUUGGAAAUCAAUGAGUAAUAAGGUAAUUAGCACCUGGCAAUUCCUCCACCUAGAGAAAUACACGUAUGUACAAAGAGGCAUAUACAAAGAUGAUCAUGGUGGCUUUUUCUGUAACAGUGACAAAAUGAAAACCUCUAAAUGUCCAUCGUUCUGUGUUUUGAUUGUACCUGGGGUUAAUUUAU